rnacentral:rRNA from 1 species
ACGGAAGGCAGCAGUGGGGAAUAUUGCACAAUGGGGGAAACCCUGAUGCAGCGACGCCGCGUGAGUGAAGAAGUUAUUCGUAAUGUAAAGCUCUAUCAGCAGGGAAGAAAAUGACGGUACCUGACUAAGAAGCCCCGGCUAACUACGUGCCAGCAGCCGCGGUAAUACGUAGGGGGCAAGCGUUAUCCGGAUUUACUGGGUGUAAAGGGAGCGUAGACGGUCUAGCAAGUCUGAUGUGAAAGGCAGGGGCUCAACUCCUGGACUGCAUUGGAAACUGUUAGUCUUGAGUGUCGGAGAGGUAAGCGGAAUUCCUAGUGUAGCGGUGAAACGCGUAGAUAUUAGGAGGAACACCAGUGGCGAAGGCGGCUUACUGGACGAUAACUGACGUUGAGGCUCGAAAGCGUGGGGAGCAAACAGGAUUAGAUACCCUGGUA